GUGUUUAGACAGCAGGAAGAAUGAAGCUCUGUACCGCCGUGGCUGUGAUUGUUCUGGUUGCUCUGAUCUACCAAGCGUCUGGGUCUCCAGUGCAGCAUGAGCAGGAAGCCAAACUUCUCAGCAGGACCCUUGGACACCAAGAAGUACGUGUGCAGCGUCAUGUGGAACCAACUGUGUGGACUGAAGAAGGAUCAGCAUCUGAUGACGAUGUAACGAUUCACGUGAUUGUACAUGAGUGACUAGGCCCUGACUUGAUGGUUCUCGACUGUUUUUCCUGAUUCCCCACAAUCCUUCAGUGCUGCAUGAGCUCCUGGAUGAACCG